GAUGAACGCUGGCGGCGUGCCUAAUACAUGCAAGUCGAGCGAACGGACGAGAAGCUUGCUUUUCUGAUGUUAGCGGCGGACGGGUGAGUAACACGUGGAUAACCUACCUAUAAGACUGGGAUAACUUCGGGAAACCGGAGCUAAUACCGGAUAAUAUUUUGAACCGCAUGGUUCAAAAGUGAAAGACGGUCUUGCUGUCACUUAUAGAUGGAUCCGCGCUGCAUUAGCUAGUUGGUAAGGUAACGGCUUACCAAGGCAACGAUGCAUAGCCGACCUGAGAGGGUGAUCGGCCACCCUGGAACUGAGACACGGUCCAGACUCCUACGGGAGGCAGCAGUAGGGAAUCUUCCGCAAUGGGCGAAAGCCUGACGGAGCAACGCCGCGUGAGUGAUGAAGGUCUUCGGAUCGUAAAACUCUGUUAUUAGGGAAGAACAUAUGUGUAAGUAACUGUGCACAUCUUGACGGUACCUAAUCAGAAAGCCCCGGCUAACUACGUG
rnacentral:rRNA from 1 species